GGUCUGGAAAGUCCGACGGUACAGGGUGAUAGUCCCGUACACCAAAAUGCACAGGCUGUGAACUCGAAGAGUAGGGCGGGACACGUGGUAUCCUGUCUGAAUAUGGGGGGACCAUCCUCCAAGGCUAAAUACUCCUGACUGACCGAUAGUGAACCAGUACCGUGAGGGAAAGGCGAAAAGAACCCCGGCGAGGGGAGUGAAAAAGAACCUGAAACCGUGUACGUACAAGCAGUGGGAGCACCUUCGGGUGUGACUGCGUACCUUUUGUAUAAUGGGUCAGCGACUUAUAUUCUGUAGCAAGGUUAACCGUAUAGGGGAGCCGCAGGGAAACCGAGUCUUAACUGGGCGUUAAGUUGCAGGGUAUAGACCCGAAACCCGGUGAUCUAGCCAUGGGCAGGUUGAAGGUUGGGUAACACUAACUGGAGGACCGAACCGACUAAUGUUGAAAAAUUAGCGGAUGACUUGUGGCUGGGGGUGAAAGGCCAAUCAAACCGGGAGAUAGCUGGUUCUCCCCGAAAGCUAUUUAGGUAGCGCCUCGUGAAUUCAUCUUCGGGGGUAGAGCACUGUUUCGGCUAGGGGGUCAUCCCGACUUACCAACCCGAUGCAAACUACGAAUACCGAAGAAUGUUAUCACGGGAGACACACGGCGGGUGCUAACGUCCGUCGUGAAGAGGGAAACAACCCAGACCGCCAGCUAAGGUCCCAAAGUCAUGGUUAAGUGGGAAACGAUGUGGGAAGGCACAGACAGCCAGGAUGUUGGCUUAGAAGCAGCCAUCAUUUAAAGAAAGCGUAAUAGCUCACUGGUCGAGUCGGCCUGCGCGGAAGAUGUAACGGGGCUAAACCAUGCACCGAAGCUGCGGCAGCGACACUAUGUGUUGUUGGGUAGGGGAGCGUUCUGUAAGCCUGCGAAGGUGACCUGUGAGGGUUGCUGGAGGUAUCAGAAGUGCGAAUGCUGACAUAAGUAACGAUAAAGCGGGUGAAAAGCCCGCUCGCCGGAAGACCAAGGGUUCCUGUCCAACGUUAAUCGGGGCAGGGUGAGUCGACCCCUAAGGCGAGGCCGAAAGGCGUAGUCGAUGGGAAACAGGUUAAUAUUCCUGUACUUGGUGUUACUGCGAAGGGGGGACGGAGAAGGCUAUGUUAGCCGGGCGACGGUUGUCCCGGUUUAAGCAUGUAGGCUGGUU
rnacentral:rRNA from 1 species